AUUGAACGCUGGCGGCAUGCCUUACACAUGCAAGUCGAACGGCAGCACGGGUGCUUGCACCUGGUGGCGAGUGGCGAACGGGUGAGUAAUACAUCGGAACAUGUCCUGUAGUGGGGGAUAGCCCGGCGAAAGCCGGAUUAAUACCGCAUACGAUCUACGGAUGAAAGCGGGGGACCUUCGGGCCUCGCGCUAUAGGGUUGGCCGAUGGCUGAUUAGCUAGUUGGUGGGGUAAAGGCCUACCAAGGCGACGAUCAGUAGCUGGUCUGAGAGGACGACCAGCCACACUGGGACUGAGACCCGGCCCAGACUCCUACGGGAGGCAGCAGUGGGGAAUUUUGGACAAUGGGCGAAAGCCUGAUCCAGCAAUGCCGCGUGUGUGAAGAAGGCCUUCGGGUUGUAAAGCACUUUUGUCCGGAAAGAAAUCCUUGGCCCUAAUACGGUCGGGGGAUGACGGUACCGGAAGAAUAAGCACCGGCUAACUACGU
rnacentral:rRNA from 1 species